UGGGGGAUAUUGCACAAUGGGCGAAAGCCUGAUGCAGCGACGCCGCGUGGGGGAUGAAGGCCUUCGGGUUGUAAACUUCUUUUGCUCUGAACAAGGCGCACCAUGGGGUGUGUUGAGUGUAGGGGUUGAUUAGCGCCGGCUAACUACGUGCCAGCAGCCGCGGUAAUACGUAGGGCGCGAGCGUUGUCCGGAAUUAUUGGGCGUAAAGGGCUUGUAGGUGGCUGGUUACGUCUGUCGUGAAAGCUCAUGGCUUAACUGUGGGUUUGCGGUGGGUACGGGCUGGCUUGAGUGCAGUAGGGGAGGCUGGAAUUCCUGGUGUAGCGGUGGAAUGCGCAGAUAUCAGGAGGAAUACCGGUGGCGAAGGCGGGUCUCUGGGCUGUUACUGACACUGAGGAGCGAAAGCAUGGGGAGCGAACAGG
rnacentral:rRNA from 1 species